rnacentral:rRNA from 1 species
AGCGAACGCUGGCGGCAGGCUUAACACAUGCAAGUCGAGCGGGCGUAGCAAUACGUCAGCGGCAGACGGGUGAGUAACGCGUGGGAACAUACCUCUUGGUUCGGAACAACACAGGGAAACUUGUGCUAAUACCGGAUAAGCCCUUACGGGGAAAGAUUUAUCGCCGAGAGAUUGGCCCGCGUCUGAUUAGCUAGUUGGUAGGGUAAUGGCCUACCAAGGCGACGAUCAGUAGCUGGUCUGAGAGGAUGAUCAGCCACAUUGGGACUGAGACACGGCCCAAACUCCUACGGGAGGCAGCAGUGGGGAAUGUUGGACAAUGGGGGCAACCCUGAUCCAGCCAUGCCGCGUGAGUGAUGAAGGCCCUAGGGAAGNAAAUGUAUUACCGCGGCAACGGGACUGC